UUGCUGAACCUGGGAAGGAGAGAGACUGCUUGCAUUUUUAUCACUGGACAAAGACCGAUUACUUCUAUACAAUAAAAGAAAGGAAAAGUGCUUGUGGUAACUGUCUUCUCUGAGCACCGGUCUCAUCAACACGGGCCACAGUACACUGGAGAUAUAUGAGGACACUUGACACCCUACAACUCCUAAAAAU